CGGUGCCGUUUUUUUGCUUCCUCAUAAAGGCCAAAUCAUGCCUUUAUUCAGCCAAACAGACACCAAAGAACCCUAGCCUCUCUAUUUUAUCCUUUCAGCCGAAAUCCAACAUUCCCCUAGGAGCCGAUCGGCCACCAUGAACGGCGACCAAACCGUCCGAGCCUCAGACCCGUUUUUUUUCCGUUUUAGACCCUUUCUUUACUCCGAUUUCGACGAAGAAGAAGAAGUCUUAUGGCAUAUUUACGAAGGUUGGGAGGAGGGUCAACGAGAGGGGCUUCCGUUUUGGUGCAAAGGACGGGCAAAGCCUAUCCUCGAGUGUCGAAUGCGCUGCUGAAGCACAUGGGCAGUAGAGGGGAGGCGCGGCGCUGAGGCUAGCUAGGGUUUCGGUUAGCUGAGACCCAAUUUGGACAUUGGGCCUAUUGGGCCGAUUGGGUUAGGGGUUUAGGGUCUGUUUGUAAAAUGGGUAGGA